GUGCUUGCUUUGGCAGCACAUAUACUAAAAUUGGAAUGAUACAAAGAUUAGCAUGGCCCCUGUGCAAGGAUGACAUGCAAAUUUGUGAAGCGUUCCAUAUUUUU